ensembl:rRNA 5S_rRNA 5S ribosomal RNA
GACAUCUGCUAGAGACUGUUGAAGCCACCCGGUCCCAGCAGACCCUGGAAGGUGGCCACAUUCACUGGUGCUGGGGCAAGGUCAUUAAAGGUGAAGCCCGGUGCCAGAUGUGU